rnacentral:rRNA from 1 species
CCUACGGGUGGCAGCAGUGAGGAAUAUUGGUCAAUGGGCUAAGGCCUGAACCAGCUAAGUCGCGUGAGGGAAGACGGUCCUAUGGAUUGUAAACCUCUUCUGUCGGGGAGCAACGAGGCCACGUGUGGCCGAAGUGAGAGUACCACAAGAAAAAGCCUCGCCUAACUCCGUGCCAGCAGCCGCGGUAAUACGGAGGAUGCGAGCGUUAUCCGGAUUUAUUGGGUUUAAGGGGUGCGUAGGCGGAACAUUAAGUCCGCGGGAAAAUCGAGGGGCUAAACCCCGUUAAGCCGUUGAAACGGGUGAUCUUGAGUGGGCGAGAGGUAGGCGGAAUGCGUGGUGUAGCGGUGAAAUGCAUAGAUAUCACGCAGAACACCGAUUGCGAAGGCAGCAUACCGGCGCCCGACUGACGCUGAGGCACGAAAGCGUGGGGAGCGAACAGGAUUAGAUACCCUGGUAGUC